GGUUGUGUAGUGUAGCGGUUAUCACUCCAGAUUCUGACCAGCCGAUUUCUGGCAACCCCGGUUCGAUUCCGGGCACGACCU